rnacentral:rRNA from 1 species
GAUGAACGCUGGCGGCGUGCCUAAUACAUGCAAGUCGAGCGAACGGACGAGAAGCUUGCUUCCCUGCUGUUAGCGGCGGACGGGUGAGUAACACGUGGAUAACCUACCUAUAAGACUGGGAUAACUUCGGGAAACCGUAGCUCCUACCGGAUAAUCUUUUGAACCGCAUGGUUCAACAGUGAAAGACGGUCUUGCUGUCACUUAUAGAUGGAUCCGCGCUGCAUUAGCUAGUUGGUAAGGUAACGGCUUACCAAGGCAACGAUGCACAGCCGACCUGAGAGGGUGGUCGGCCAAGCUGGAACUGAGACACGGUCCAGACUCCUACGGGAGGCAGCAGUAGGGAAUCUUCCGCAAUGGGCGAAAGCCUGACGGAGCAACGCCGCGUGAGUGAUGAAGGUCUUCGGAUCGUAAAACUCUGUUAUUAGGGAAGAACAUAUGUGUAAGUAACUGUGCACAUCUUGACGUUACCUAAUCAGAAAGCCACGGCUAACUACGUG